UACGUAGGGUGCAAGCGUUGUCCGGAAUUAUUGGGCGUAAAGAGCUCGUAGGCGGUCAGUCGCGUCUGCUGUGAAAACUCGGGGCUUAACCCCGGGCCUGCAGUGGGUACGGGCUGACUAGAGUGCGGUAGGGGAGACUGGAAUUCCCGGUGUAGUGGUGAAAUGCGUAGAUAUCGGGAGGAACACCAGCGGCGAAGGCGGCUUUCUGGACCAAUACUGACGCUGAGACGCGAAAGCGUGGGGAGCAAACAGGG
rnacentral:rRNA from 1 species